rnacentral:rRNA from 1 species
UACGGAGGGUGCGAGCGUUGUCCGGAAUCACUGGGCGUAAAGGGCGCGUAGGCGGCCGGAGAAGUCGGUGGUGAAAGCUCGGGGCUCAACUCCGAGUCGGCCACCGAUACUGUUCGGCUCGAGUUUGGUAGAGGCAGAUGGAAUUCCGGGUGUAGCGGUGGAGUGCGUAGAGAUCCGGAAGAACACCGGUGGCGAAGGCGGUCUGCUGGGCCAAGACUGACGCUGAGGCGCGACAGCGUGGGGAGCAAGCAGG